UCUUAUAGAAAAUCCACCUUAAGUAGUAACGAAGAAUAAAGCUCCUUCCACACGCGCCCGUGCUCAUACUGUUCACGCACGCGACUCCGCCAGUGGUCAAUCCGUAAUUAUCUCCAAAUCCAGGGACAAUUUCUCAACUCCCAACGACUUUGGUCUCCAUUUCCCUUACUUUCGUAACGUCACAGUUGCCGUUGGUGCCCGGACACGUGGCAGCAUCUGCUGCGUCUGCUCCAGCUAUAAACUAACCUCGCCUCUCUUAUUACUUGCAAGCCCCCCCCUCUCUCUCUCUCUCGCUCUCUGAUCUAGUUAUGGAGGUUAGGGAUUUAUAGGAUGUCUUCUCUUUUAAGCUAAGUGCUGGAUUCUGUUGCGGCGGCCUCUAGUUCGCUUGGUGCAGGUUCCCGCCUUGCAUCAACUGAAUCGGAGGCCGCGGUGAAUGAUUAUUCCCGGGCGGUUAUAUUGGAUUGACGUGGAUCUGCGAUUGAUACGGCGUAGGUGUGAAUUUUGAAUUCGAUUUUUUACUGGAUCUGAGUCGUUUGUUUUAUUUUCUGCAUUGAGCAUGAAUGAUAGAUCUUGUUUUUCUGCAUUGGCGGAUACUUAAUUAUCACUCAUGUAUAGAAAAAAUUAGUGUCCUUUUCCCUCAAACUAUCGAAGUAUAGCUAGAUAAGGAUGAAUGUCUAAUCCUUUCAGCUUUUUUUUGAAACCUGAGACUGAUACAUCUUUUUAUGAGAUUAUGAUAAGAAAACAUUAGGGGAAUGAUUAAUAGAACUUGUGAUUCAAAGAGAUCUUAUUGUUUGUGACAUUCUUUUGUUUAAUGAGUUAUUUUGUUCAUUUUCAUUAUUUUUUCAGGAGUUGUUAAUUCUUUCGAGCAGUAGCUUUUCUUCCAAAUUCACUUGUAAUAUCAAUAAGUGAAAAAUAUUGCUUUCUAAAAAAAAGUUAAUGCAUUUUAAUGGAUGAGCCUAAGCCUAGUAUGAUUUUAGAAUGAUAAUUAUGUAUUUAGUUACAUUGCUUUUAUUGGAUCCAUGAUGAUAAUACAUGAGUUUUACUUUCUUUCUCCAGUAUGUCUGUUUUAGUGAAUCAUGUGAGUUGUUUCCCAUUGUGUAGAUGAAAAAAUAUUCCUCAUGUAGCAGUGGAGCAAGUGUCGUACUACUAGGGGAAAGUUAAAUGGAUUUGCGGUAAUUUCUGGCAAAUUAUAAUGCGCAUGUGGCUUUGUUAUGGGUUAUAUCGUUGUCUUCUAGUGACCUGAAAGAAUAAAUUGGCACGCUCCCUUUCAGUGCUUGGGAGAAUAAUUGGCAUAUUUCUAGGAAACCUGUGUUCUUAAUUGUUCGUUUUAAGUCGCCUGUGUAUAUUUUAGCUGUAACACAUGGGUAGUUCUGCAUAUAAAAUAUCCCAAUUGUGACAAUCAACAGCUUCAAGAUUUGUCUUUUAGAAUAACGACAGGGUUGUAAUUAAUUCCUCUUAUCUACUAGGCUUUUUAGUUUGUUUCAAUAUCGAGCUAACUGCUCAGAAAGUAAUUUGAGUCUGAAAUAACUGCUCAGAAAGUUUCAUGGUUUCUGUUUUUAGUAGGUUCUCCUCUCCUGCUUUGUGAAGCUACUCCUAGUAGAUUCUUGUAAUAUUUGGGUAUAUAGACUGAUGAGUCAUGAUACUUAUUAGCUCCCAUCGUGGGGCGGUUUCAGCUGGCUGUAGCAAAUGAUAAGCUCUCAUAUUUUUGGGCACAUGCUUUGUUUUUCUAUGUGCACGUCUAUUUGGAUGAGUUUUUGCCUUUUUGGCUAGGUUUAGCCUCUGGUAUUUUUGGAUAUUUUGGUGAUGUUGUGAAUGAGUUUGAUAGCAAGGAUUUGGAAGAGUAGUUUGAAAAAGAUGAGUGUUGGAGGUGGCAUGAAAAUUUGAAUUAAUUCUCUCUUAUUAUGGUGUCAAUUAAUUACUUACAAGAAUGAGUGAAGUAAAAAGGUGAAAACCAGAGAGCUAAAGUCAGACGAUCCAGGAAUGCAGUCUGAAGGCAUGGAUGGAGUAAGUUGCUAUAACAUUAAUAUUCUAUCAUAUAUUGCUGUCAAAAUGCACAUAUAUACUGAGGAAGCACAAAAAUUAUAAUGAUGAUGAGGGUAAAUAGGAAGUUUUGCACUAUUAUACCAUAGAAUUCCAAAAUGAGACAAUUAUUGAGGGAUGGAUGGAUAGAGUAAUCUCACAAGUAUACAAGAAAGCAUAUUUUUCACCGAAGUUUGAUAUCCCAAGUGCAAGUUUUUUCAUAUGUUUACAAGACAACAUUGCAAGACCUUGCUUGGUGAUGCAUUUGAUCUCCAACAGGUUGUGGGAACCGUGAGAUAUGCUGCACUGGAGUACAUCCAAACGGGGCGCCUGACAGCCAAGAGCGACGUGUAGAGCUAUGGGAUAUUCCUCUACGAGCUCAUCACUGCGAGGCGCCCCUUUGACAGGAACCGGCCAAAAGAUGAGCAGAAGCUCGUUUAUUGGGUUAGGCCACACCUCUUGGACAUGAAGAUGUUCGAGCAGAUCCUCGACCCUCGUCUCAGUCUCAAUGGCAAUUCCGACAUCAGGUCCGCUCAGAAGCUCUCGUCCAUUGCCAACCGGUGUCUCAUUAGGCACCCCAUGAACCGGCCUAGAAUGAACGACAUUCUAGAGAUGGUUAACCAUGUUGUCAAAGCGAUGAGCACUGAUCAGAGCCCGGGCGCCUCAUUCCACCGUGCCCUUCUAACGGCUGACGACGGCAGAUCUUUGCAAGAUCGUUUAAAGAGGAGGAUUCUUGACCAAAUCAAGGGAGAUCACAGGUGCUUGAGCUGGAGAUCAUGGAGGAGAGAAGUGGUGAGUACAGAGAUUUGAUUUGAAUUGUGUUUUGUGACUUUGUCAAAGAUGAGUUUGUAUGAGAAAGAGAUGGUAGAGAUCACGCAAUGCACACGCACACGCACACGCACACCAACGGAGAUUUCUUAGUUUCAAGUUGUUAAUUUGAACUAUGUUUUGAUUUUCAAAAAUAUAAAAUAAAAUAUGCUUAUACAAA